UACGGAGGGUGCGAGCGUUGUCCGGAAUCAUUGGGCGUAAAGGGCGCGUAGGUGGCGCGGUAAGCGUGCGGUGAAAGCCUGGGGCUCAACCCCGGGUCGGCCGUGCGAACUGCUGGGCUUGAGCACUGUAGAGGCAGGCGGAAUUCCGGGUGUAGCGGUGGAAUGCGUAGAGAUCCGGAAGAACACCGGUGGCGAAGGCGGAUCUCUGGGCCUUACCUGACGCUCAGGUGCGAAAGCUAGGGGAGCGAACAGG
rnacentral:rRNA from 1 species